rnacentral:rRNA from 1 species
GAUGAACGCUAGCGGCAGGCCUAACACAUGCAAGUCGAGGGGUAGAGUGGUGCUUGCACUGCUUGAGACCGGCGCACGGGUGCGUAACGCGUAUGCAAUCUACCUUAUACAGGGGAAUAGCCCAGGGAAACUUGGAUUAAUGCCCCAUAGUCUAUAAUGAUAGCAUUUGAUUUAUAGUAAAGAUUUAUCGGUAUAAGAUGAGCAUGCGUACCAUUAGCUAGUUGGUGUGGUAACGGCACACCAAGGCUACGAUGGUUAGGGGCCCUGAGAGGGGGAUCCCCCACACUGGUACUGAGACACGGACCAGACUCCUACGGGAGGCAGCAGUGAGGAAUAUUGGACAAUGGGCGAGAGCCUGAUCCAGCCAUGCCGCGUGCAGGAAGACUGCCCUAUGGGUUGUAAACUGCUUUUUAUACGGGAAGAAACACCCCCUCGUGAGGGGGCUUGACGGUACCGUACGAAUAAGGAUCGGCUAACUCCGUGCCAGCAGCCG